UUUUUUUUCUUAUGAUCUAGGUUUAUCGUCUCACUCUAUUUGCUUCUAUCAUUCAAGUUCGUUUUGAAAAGAUGAAGUUAGUCACCGAUUGAUCAAAACUUAGUACUUGUAGAUAAGGAGGAAGUUGAGUUUAUCACUGAUUGACAAAAAGGCUUAGAUAGUUUGUAACUUGAAAGAUGGAUCAAGGG